rnacentral:rRNA from 1 species
CGUAGGGUGCGAGCGUUAUCCGGAAUUAUUGGGCGUAAAAGAGCUCGUAGGCGGUUUGUCGCGUCUGUCGUGAAAAGUCCGGGGGCUUAACCCCGGAUCUGCGGUGGGUACGGGGCAGACUAGAGUGCAGUAGGGGGAGACUGGAAUUCCUGGUGUAGCGGUGGAAUGCGCAGAUAUCAGGAGGAACACCGAUGGCGAAGGCAGGUCUCUGGGCUGUAACUGACGCUGAGGAGCGAAAAGCAUGGGGAGCGAACAGGAUU